rnacentral:snoRNA from 2 species
GUCUCCGAUGAUGAACAAAAUGAUAUAACUUUCGUUCUUCUGAGAUGUUUCUGUGCGGAAGAAAAUUAUUGGAGACCUGAACUGAGGAGAC